rnacentral:rRNA from 1 species
AGAGUUUGAUCCUGGCUCAGAUUGAACGCUGGCGGCAUGCUUUACACAUGCAAGUCGGACGGCAGCACAGAGAAGCUUGCUUCUUGGGUGGCGAGUGGCGAACGGGUGAGUAAUAUAUCGGAACGUACCGAGUAAUGGGGGAUAACUAAUCGAAAGAUUAGCUAAUACCGCAUAUUCUCUGAGGAGGAAAGCAGGGGACCUUCGGGCCUUGCGUUAUUCGAGCGGCCGAUAUCUGAUUAGUUAGUUGGUGGGGUAAAGGCCUACCAAGGCGACGAUCAGUAGCGGGUCUGAGAGGAUGAUCCGCCACACUGGGACUGAGACACGGCCCAGACUCCUACGGGAGGCAGCAGUGGGGAAUUUUGGACAAUGGGCGCAAGCCUGAUCCAGCCAUGCCGCGUGUCUGAAGAAGGCCUUCGGGUUGUAAAGGACUUUUGUCAGGGAAGAAAAGGCUGUUGCUAAUAUCGACAGCUGAUGACGGUACCUGAAGAAUAAGCACCGGCUAACUACGUGCCAGCAGCCGCGGUAAUACGUAGGGUGCGAGCGUUAAUCGGAAUUACUGGGCGUAAAGCGAGCGCAGACGGUUACUUAAGCAGGAUGUGAAAUCCCCGGGCUCAACCCGGGAACUGCGUUCUGAACUGGGUAACUAGAGUGUGUCAGAGGGAGGUAGAAUUCCACGUGUAGCAGUGAAAUGCGUAGAGAUGUGGAGGAAUACCGAUGGCGAAGGCAGCCUCCUGGGAUAACACUGACGUUCAUGCUCGAAAGCGUGGGUAGCAAACAGGAUUAGAUACCCUGGUAGUCCACGCCCUAAACGAUGUCAAUUAGCUGUUGGGCAACUUGAUUGCUUAGUAACGUAGCUAACGCGUGAAAUUGACCGCCUGGGGAGUACGGUCGCAAGAUUAAAACUCAAAGGAAUUGACGGGGACCCGCACAAGCGGUGGAUGAUGUGGAUUAAUUCGAUGCAACGCGAAGAACCUUACCUGGUCUUGACAUGUACGGAAUCCUCCAGAGACGGAGGAGUGCCUUCGGGAGCCGUAACACAGGUGCUGCAUGGCUGUCGUCAGCUCGUGUCGUGAGAUGUUGGGUUAAGUCCCGCAACGAGCGCAACCCUUGUCAUUAGUUGCCAUCAUUUAGUUGGGCACUCUAAUGAGACUGCCGGUGACAAGCCGGAGGAAGGUGGGGAUGACGUCAAGUCCUCAUGGCCCUUAUGACCAGGGCUUCACACGUCAUACAAUGGUCGGUACAGAGGGUAGCCAAGCCGCGAGGUGGAGCCAAUCUCACAAAACCGAUCGUAGUCCGGAUUGCACUCUGCAACUCGAGUGCAUGAAGUCGGAAUCGCUAGUAAUCGCAGGUCAGCAUACUGCGGUGAAUACGUUCCCGGGUCUUGUACACACCGCCCGUCACACCAUGGGAGUGGGGGAUACCAGAAGUAGGUAGGGUAACCGCAAGGAGUCCGCUUACCACGGUAUGCUUCAUGACUGGGGUGAAGUCGUAACAAGGUAGCCGUAGGGGAACCUGCGGCUGGAUCACCU